UUUCUGGGUUGUGGUUUGUUUCUGCUGUAAUGGCCUAGCUUUGGAUGAUCAAUUCUGUGUCUUUGUGAUAUAGUAAGUUGGUUUUACAAUUCAGUGAGAUAAAAGGUUGAUGCUUUUUUAGUGAUUUGUGAUAAGAUGCAAUCGGACGGGUCUGAUUCCGUGAGCCUGAGUCCGACAGCCCAGAGGGUGCAGCAGUCUCUGUCAGCCUCGGAUACUAGAGGGAAGCAUCGGAUACAGGCCGAGUUGAAACGGUUUGAGCAAGAAGCAAGAUUCUUAGAGGUCAGUGAUGGUGUUUUAGAGUUGUUUUGGUUUGAUGAUUGGGAAUUGAGUCAGUGAUUUUGUUGCAUUUGUCUUUCUUAUGUGGUUGGAUGCAUGUGUCAAUCAGAUGAUUGAGAUUUUAGUUUUGAGAAUUUUGAGCUUUAGAGGUUUGAUGGUUUCGUUCGAGUUUGAUGGUUGGUGUAUCUACAAUAGAAUUGGAUUGGAAACAAAUAAUGCAUCUAAGAGAAUUGCUUGAAAUGGAUAGGAUUACUGGUUAAGCUGUUUGCUAUAUUCUGGUUCUGUUUUAUUAAAAUAGUGGGUAUGGUAACCCAAUUUAUGGAGAAUGGGAGAGUUUAGCAAGUUCUAUGCCUGCCCUUUUGGGUUCAAUCUCAGCUUUGCUUGUUGGUUUCGUGCCAUCAUAAAAAUUUAUGUUUAACAGGAGUGUGAAGAUUCUAAAUUUCUGAUGUAAGUGUUGAAAGUGGGUAGAAUUUGAGAAGUUAUGGGUUAGUACUUGAUUUGUUUGUUAAAUGCUGAUCCUGUUUCAUUAAAUCAGUUGGUUUGGUUUCCCAAUUAAUUCAAAAUGUGAGAAAUGGCAAGUUAAAUACUGACCCUUUUGAGUGUAUCUCACCUUUGCUUGUAAUGGCCAUAUUUAUUAGGGUGGUUGUCUGUUUACUGUUACGGUCCUUCUAUGGAAGUGGAUUUUUGUGGGUUCAAUCUGGGUGAUUUGGUUUUCCCUUGUGACGAUGAAAUUUUGGUCGGUUACGUUGUUCAGCUCCAGUUUAGCACUUAAGAUGUAGCUUUGUACUUGAGUGAUCUGAUCGCAGUCUUGCUUACUAUUGUAUCCAAGUUGGAGAAGGCAAACUCAGUUUGCAGCGGAUAGAUAAGAAGGGAAACAGUUGGUUCAGACUUAUUGGUGUUUAUUUGUGCUGUGUUAAUGAGUACAUGAUUCCGCUGAUGCAACUGCUUGAUGUUGUGACUAAGGAAGCAGAUGAUACUUACAUGUAGGAAGAGCUGGAACAACUUGAAAAGAUAGACAAGGCCUCAGCUGCAUGCAAGGAAAUACUGAGUAAUGUAGAAACAAGGCCGGAUCCAUUACUCCCAAUAACCCGUGGCCCCCUUAAUCCAUUUUGGGAUAGAUGGUUUGAAGGCCCCAAAGACUCGAAAGGUUGCAGAUGCUGG